ACGGGAGGCAGCAGUGAGGAAUAUUGGACAAUGGUCGGAAGACUGAUCCAGCCAUGCCGCGUGAAGGCAGACGGUCCUAUGGAUUGUAAACUUCUUUUGUACGGGAACAAUAAGGUCCACGAGUGGUCCGAUGAGAGUACCGUACGAAUAAGCAUCGGCUAACUCCGUGCCAGCAGCCGCGGUAAUACGGAGGAUGCGAGCGUUAUCCGGAUUUAUUGGGUUUAAAGGGUGCGCAGGCGGGCCUUUAAGUCAGCGGUGAAAUCCCGUAGCUCAACUACGGAACUGCCGUUGAUACUGGAGGCCUUGAGUCGUGUCGAGGAUGGCGGAAUGCAGCGUGUAGCGGUGAAAUGCUUAGAUAUGCUGCAGAACUCCGAUUGCGAAGGCAGCUGUCCAGAGACGAACUGACGCUGAGGCACGAAAGCAUGGGUAUCAAACAGGAUUAGAUACCCUGGUA
rnacentral:rRNA from 1 species